rnacentral:lncRNA from 1 species
AGACAGUUGAAUUUAUCAGUUAGCAACAGCCAUAGACAAAAUUUCACACUUUUAAAAGUAGCUACUGACCCAGGGAGCUUUCCAAACUUAUGGCUGCUUGUAGGGCAGAAUUCCAGUGGGACAGCAUGUACCUCUUUUCUAAGGACAAGAUCAGGACCUGAGAACCAAACCACGUUGUCAUGUGAAGCUUGGCUGUGAAAAUACCUGUCUGCUGCUGUGCGAAAUUGCCAGCAGUUGGAACACCAACAGAUCAGUCUGUAGGAGCAAUGUAACACAGUGAGGAAGUGAGUUAAAGAUACCUGCUGUCUGAGGAAAAGAUGCUG